GGUAGAUGAGGGCCAGAGGCGUGGGUAAAAGGUGGGGGGCAAGCGUUGUCCGGAGUUAUGUGGCGUAAAGAGCGGGGAGGCGGCUUUGCAAGUCCGUUGUGAAAACUCGAGGCUCAACCUCGAGACGCCGGUGGAAACUGCAAAGCUAGAGUCCGGAAGAGGAGAGUGGAAUUCCUGGUGUAGCGGUGAAAUGCGCAGAUAGCAGGAAGAACACCCGUGGCGAAGGCGGCUCUCUGGGACGGUACUGACGCUGAGACGCGAAAGCGUGGGGAGCGAACAGGAUUAGAUACCCGUGUAGUC
rnacentral:rRNA from 1 species